rnacentral:sRNA from 1 species
CGCCCGCGUGGUGCAGUUGGUAAGACUGUUACCCAAGGUAGCACUGUUAGAUGUGCUGUAGGUUCGAAUCCUGCUGCUGGCAAGGUCCCAUUUUGGGCCACUUCUUACCCAUGAAGGCCCCCGUGACCAGGGGCCAAGCCUAGUGAGGCAGUGCUGACAGAGGUGCUGCUUGGCAGUGAUGAGGGUGGUGGCCGCUGGAAGCCAUGCUCAUUAGUGCCAAGCAGCCCCCCUGUCACUAGUGCUGAUCUAAGCAAGAUUCAAUGAUUACAGAGAGUCGAGUAUAGGGUGCUUAUACAUACUAGCACCUGCCAAGGCCCCCGGCAUCUAGGGGGCCACCCCAACAACAGGGAAUGAUUUUAAAAACCAUCCAAUUGGCUGCCUCAUCAGAGGGGUAGUAGCAAGCCAAGCAGGACACCCUGAUAGGUGCUCUAUUCAGGGCCCACUAGUGGUCAUCUAACACUAUUAGUGGGUUAUCAUCGGGUGGGGUAAGCCUAUGGUUAGUCCCUUACACGGGGCAAGGCCACGACGGCCGGUUGGUAGGCCAAGGGGGCAAUGGGCCGAGAUCGGCAACUGGAAGCUCUGGGCUAUGGUGAUGCCUAGGGUGGGCAGUGGCGCUUAACUAGGACCCCCACUGGAAACCCCAGAACUAGUUAAAGCGGCCCGAGAGGACGGACGCGGUGGUCGGUUGGUUAUAGGGGUUAUAAUAUGUAACUAGCUUAAGGUGCAUCCUGCGUGGAAUAGCCACGUAGUCAUGUUUGCAAAAAUGGCAAGAUAUCUGGCUUAUGCAAAGAAAAAGUGUGCAUUACUCCAGAUUUGAAACAAAGCCAAAGUGGAAAACUUGUUCAAUAAAGUGUAAAAAGAAACCUUUUGCUACAAUAAUGCAGUUAAAGCUUGGACAUGAUUACUUCAAAUCAUAUUUAACAAAGUUUAGAGAUGAUUUAAGUAGUCUAUGUUUAGAUUGUCAGUUAUAUGAAAAUCCAG